GACGAACCGUCCAAACGUUAUUCGGAAUUACUGGGCUUAAAGGGUGCGUAGGCGGCUCUGCAAGUUGGGUGUGAAAUCCCUCGGCUCAACCGAGGAAUGGCGCCCAAAACUGUGGAGCUCGAGGGAGACAGAGGUGAGUGGAACUUGUGGUGGAGCGGUGAAAUGCGUUGAUAUCACAAGGAACACCGGUGGCGAAAGCGGCUCACUGGGUCUCUUCUGACGCUGAGGCACGAAAGUGUGGGGAUCAAACAGGAUUAGAUACCCCCGUAGUCCCUGA
rnacentral:rRNA from 1 species